GGCAUGUCAGUAACUGAUAGUAGACCUUUGAUAAUUUAUGUAUCAUUGUCAUUUUGAUUUGUUUCUAUUCUUGGUGACCUUCGGCUGAUUUCUGCUCUUUGGUCGGGUUGUUGUCUCUUUGACAUAUUCCCCAUUUCCAUUCUAAAUUUUAUAAUGACAAGAUGUAUAAAAUCAGAGCUGCGUCACAUGUCUCAAAGAAACACAAAAAGGCAUAUACAGACAAAGAAUAUUGGCAAAAAUGAAAAUCAAGAAUACAAAAAUUAUCAUAAAACAAUUUAGCAAUGGCGGCAUGUAUAAGUACUCAGCACCGUUAUGUGUAUCAAACAGUACUAAACAGUGACCUGUAACACGUUAUAAAGAUGAUAAACAACAUUAUUACCCAGAUUCUAUACUUCAAGGUUGCAUU
rnacentral:lncRNA from 1 species